GAUGAACGCUGGCGGCGUGCCUAAUACAUGCAAGUCGAGCGAAUGGAUUAAGAGCUUGCUCUUAUGAAGUUAGCGGCGGACGGGUGAGUAACACGUGGGUAACCUGCCCAUAAGACUGGGAUAACUCCGGGAAACCGGGGCUAAUACCGGAUAACAUUUUGAACCGCAUGGUCCGAAAUUGAAAGGCGGCUUCGGCUGUCACUUAUGGAUGGACCCGCGUCGCAUUAGCUAGUUGGUGAGGUAACGGCUCACCAAGGCAACGAUGCGUAGCCGACCUGAGAGGGUGAUCGACCACACUGGGACUGAGACACGGCCCAGACCCCUACGGGAGGCAGCAGUAGGGAAUCUUCCGCAAUGGACGAAAGUCUGACGGAGCAACGCCGCGUGAGUGAUGAAGGCUUUCGGGUCGUAAAACUCUGUUGUUAGGGAAGAACAAGAGCUAGUUGAAUAAGCUGGCACCUUGACGGUACCUAACCAGAAAGCCACGGCUAACUACGUGCCAGCCGCCGCGGUAA
rnacentral:rRNA from 1 species